rnacentral:rRNA from 1 species
AGCAGCCGCGGUAAUUCCAGCUCCAAUAGCGUAUAUUAAAGUUGUUGCAGUUAAAAAGCUCGUAGUUGAAUUUCGGGAUUGACGUGAUGGUCGUGCCUUAAGGGGUAUGAACUGUCGCCGUUGAUUUCUCACCUUCUGGAGAAGCUCGAUGUCCUUAAUUGGAUGUCUUGUGGAACCAGGACCUUUACCUUGAAAAAUUAGAGUGUUUAAAGCAGGCAUUAUGCUCGAAUACAUUAGCAUGGAAUAAUAGAAUAGGACGGCAUGGUUCUAUUUUGUUGGUUUCUAGGAUCACCGUAAUGAUUAAUAGGGAUAGUUGGGGGCAUUAGUAUUCAAUUGUCAGAGGUGAAAUUCUUGGAUUUAUUGAAGACUAACUACUGCGAAAGCAUUUGCCAAGGAUGUUUCAUUAAUCAAGAACGAAAGUUAGGGGAUCGAAGACGAUCAGAUACCGUC